rnacentral:rRNA from 1 species
UACGUAGGGGGCUAGCGUUGUCCGGAAUCAUUGGGCGUAAAGAGCGUGUAGGCGGUUCGGUAAGUCCGCUGUGAAAGCCGGGGGCUCAACCCUCGAAUGCCGGUGGAUACUGUCGGGCUAGAGUGCGGAAGAGGCGAGUGGAAUUCCUGGUGUAGCGGUGAAAUGCGCAGAUAUCAGGAGGAACACCUAUUGCGAAGGCAGCUCGCUGGGACGUAACUGACGCUGAGACGCGAAAGCGUGGGGAGCAAACAGG